ensembl:lncRNA
GUUUUAUAUUAAUUUUUUGUUUGUUUUUUUUUAGAUAUUUAUCCCAAAUUUAUGCAUCUGGAUGGCUUCUCGAUGCCGAACAUCUGAAUAGCAAAACAUUGUCCAGAUGACCACUGUUGAAACAUUGAACCAAUCCUGGACGAAUGAGGGAAUACACCAUCUCUUUGCCAGAGUGCAGAAAUGUUGGCCUGUAUACACUUGGGCUCCUUCAAUGCCACUGCUAACCCGGUGAGGCGCAGGGUUAGCACAGCUCCAAUGUUACCGCAGGCUAAUUACAGCCUGUGUCUCCCACACUCCAGGAGGGCCGGGUCAUCCAGAGGACAGCCAUGAGAGGCAUUCCUUGCAGCCCACCGCCCCCCAACCCCCAUACACACCCACCCCAUCUUCAGCUUGCCUCUGCUCCAAACUAUUUCCUGCCUUAGAAAUCCAGACUCCAUCCUGUCUUUUGCAACAAGUAGGACAGC